GUGAUUGCUUCAGCAGUACAAAUGCUAAAAUAGGAAUGAUACAGAAAAGAUUAGAAGGGUUUCUGCCCACAAAUGACAAAAAGUUUGUAAUGUAUUCCAUACUUUU
ensembl:snRNA U6 U6 spliceosomal RNA